rnacentral:lncRNA from 1 species
GCAAUUGGCCCAGUUGGCCCAAUUGUAGUCGGACAGCGACCGUGUGAGCCUCAGAAUUAUCCCACCUCGCUUAACUUGGGAGGAGGAAGCCACUUUAAAAGGGAGAGCCACCCUUCCCCCAUUGGACUAGUCUUUUCGGGCGAUUGGGCCUUUCCCUGAGUUGGGUGUGCUUGAUGAACUGUUGGGUGUAACAUCCCAAAAUCCUAACCUAGGUUUGAAACCCUAAACUACCCCUCUCCCCUUUUUCAUCCUCUAAUUCCAAGAACUCCCUUAGAUUUUCUUUCAUCAUAUGCAUACACUUUGUUUGAUCACAAGCACCUCACUUAGAUUUUAUUUUUCAGCACCUAAGAUUAUCUAUUAAAAUUUAUUGUUCAAAAGAAAAAGAUAUAAAAAUGGAUAAAGGAAUUAGAAAAUAAAAAGAAAAAGAGAAAACUUGUGGUGGAACAGCCCGAAUUAUUCCAGCUUAAGUGCCCAAGUCGCACCCUUAAGGGCAGCAACACACUUAAACGGGAAUAACCCGUCAGUCCCUCGGAUCUAGUCCGAUAAAGCCAAUUAUCCAGGAUCGAAUACCACUAGCUCACUCGAAGGUGAGGCACAGAGAAAUAUAAUAAAACAUAAUACCACAAUUUAAUAACUCUCAUUAGUGAUUACAUUAUCGGUGUUUCAGAAAUGAUAACCAUAAAUUUUAAUGCAGCGGAAAUAACUAACGGAGAAAACCGAGUAACAUGGCGAAGCCUGGCCACGCUACUCCUUCUGGUCCUCUCCUGCGGAAGCAAUAACCCACUCGACCGUCUAUCCCGGUGGCAGGGAUGAAGGCCAAGUCACGCCAUCAACCAAUCAUCCUUAGGAGUACCUGCAAAAAUUAUGCCACAAGCAAGGCUGAGUAUACUAAUACUCAGCUAGACUUACCCGGUGUGAGGAGUCUACUCCUCUACCUCUAGACAUGCAGCUGUUUGGCUGAGGGGUUUGGUUUGCCAAAAGCACUAGCUGAGUCUAAAAUCAAGUUUUAGCUUUUCAAGUUUUAAUAUGAUCCUUUUUAAACUAGAUGAGUACCUAGCUAUUCAUACAUGGUACCAAACAUUAUAUCAAUCAACAUCUUUUUGCUAGUCACCUCAUUUUCAUUUAUUACUCAAUGCAGUACAAUGGAUCAAGCAGUCUCAUUAGCUGCGAGAAGCAGACGAUUCGAAUCGAGUUUUUAUCCUUGCAAGGUAAACCUAAACACACGACAUGUAGGGGCACUCCGUCCCCACACACAUCAACCGUCCCCAUCGAUUCCCCGUCAGCAGAUCAGGGCUCACCGCCUUGGCGUACAAUGCCUCACUGACCCCGACUGCCGUCGUGCAGUGACCGCACUUGUACCCACCAUAACCGGAAUGGGAGACCACGUCUCAGGUCGCGUGAGGGGUAAAGUCCACUGCCAGGUUCAAUCAGGUACUAGACUUACCGAUUUACCAUAUUUCUCAGCAUGUGCUUAGUACGUUCAAACACUUGACACAGGUAUCCGCGCGUUAAUCCUUAUUCCAAUUUCCGUGUCGUAGACCACGCGUCCCCAUGGACCCGUGUCCACAGACCAUCAUCAUUCUGUUAUCAAAGUGGAUACAACCAAUUCCUGACCUCGCGCGAGUGCUAGAAAAAUCACUCGACUUCUAUCGAGAUCCCUAAUUAGCAAAGCAGCUACUCGACCUAGCAUACUAGUAUCCAUCUCAAAAAGGAAUCCUGAGUUCAUGCAACUAGGGUUUCAACCAACUCCUACACUUAAGUGCACGGUACAAGCCUACAAACAUUAAGUGUAGUAAAAUAGCAUAUAUAAACGGUUAUGCAUAAAACCGGGGCUUGCCUUUAAUUUAACACUUAGAUAGUGUUUGCUGGGGUGGGUACUCGCUUGGCGAGCAUCCACUGGGUAAGUCCACCAUUCUUUAGGUCGUCCACCAACUGCAUCUUGUGGUUGGCACCACAUCACUGGCUCGAUCAUCGUCCCUCGGUCCUAAAUGAGAUGCAAUAUGCAUAUGUAUGAAUAUAAUGAAAUAGCACAAGAUACUUUAAGUACAUGCUAGCGAAUUAAACACUAAGUAGCGAGACAUCACAAGCAACCACACCCACUAGCGUUAGCUAACUACAUAUCGUCGAGCGCACAACAUUACACCACUAAAAAGACGACAAACAUUUUGGAUAUUUACGCAACACAAUACUACAUCACAAUUAACUAGAGAAAGAAACGUAUAAAAACAUGACACGUAUGUUAUCUCAAGCUUAGCCAUGGCAAUUCUAUAUGAAUUUAGUGCUAACCAACCAUUUUUAGCCAAAAGGGUGAACUAACAAUUAAUUGAGCACAUGCAGAUUUUUAGGACAGCAGCACAGCAGUUAUUAGUUUUAAUCAUAUCUCUUCAAAUAUUCAUCCAAAAAUAGCAAACUAGGAUUUUCUGGAAAGCUUAAAAAGUGAACUAUAACUUUGGUAUUUUCACCUCAACCUGAUUCAACACAUAGCAAGGUCAAAAAGUGCAAUCACAGCAGCUCUGUCCAGAUUUGGACAGAUUCAGACUUGCAACUUCAAAAAUUCACAACUAGAGAUUCAGACAUCCAAAUAAGUUGAUCCUAGACUUUCUGGAAAGGUAAUAAAAUUGUCUACAUAUCAUUUAUAAACAUCUCAAGGUGAUUCAAUAUUUAACUAAGGAUAAACAUCACUAAAAGACUUUGCUGUCCAUAACUGGACAGAUUCAGUCUUCCUAUUUGAAACAUUCAUAACUUAAUAUUCAGACCACCAAAAAUAGUGAUCCAAGACUUUUUGGAAAGCUUGGCAAAAGCACUACAUAACUUUUGUAAUCACCAAGAAGUGAUUCCAGGUUUAAUCAAAUCAAACAUUACAGUUUUCGAAAUCUGUUCAGACAGAGGACAGAACAAAACAACCAGUUUGUAAAUUUCAUAACUCUUAAACUGUCAGGCCUAUGGUUAUGAAAUUUUAACACAAGCAAGAUGAGAAAAGCAUCUACAACUUUCUUAUAACGACCAUGAACAGGUUGCAACAUUAAUUUGAGCAAAAAAUGCAGUUUCUGAAAUCUGUACAUAAUUUGGACAGAUUCAGUUACUGAAUUUGUGAACAGCAUAACUCCUAAACUGUCACACCUAUGGCUGUCAAAUUUUAACACCAGCAAGAUAAUAAAGUUAUCUACCACUUUUCUAUAGCACAUAUCUACAGAAAACACCAUUUAGUUCAUCAAACAUACAGUACAGGGAAAUCGCUGCGUGCAGUUCAAAACAGUAACUACUAAAUUUCAGCUCCUAUACAAUUCAAGAAUCGCUGCGUUCGAGAGACUUGAAUUACUCUAACGCUUUACUAUUUAUUCGAGUUAAGACAAUCAAUUAGAACCAACAAGUCGACUUGCAAAUUUUAUUCAAGUCAUUUAGUGCACUAAAAUUACUACAAUCAAUUAACAACGCAUUCUUCACGACAAUCACUCAACAAUUUGCGUUUUAAAUUAGACAUCACAUGAGCACUACUACUUUUCAUCCGCGACCAUAAACAUACACAUUUAGACUACAAUAAGAAAAUCAUCGUGACUACGAGCUUAACCAAGUCAUCUAAAAUUCGGCUAACUAGCGCAACAACAUAGGCCGCUAUACAUCCUACACGUCGGCUUGCCUCUUAUCAUCGCAAUCCGAGACAACACAUAUAUAACAAACACUUAACGAAAUCGACUCCUAUUUAACAUGAGUUGGCUAAUCACAGUAGAAGACCUAGCGAACCAUUUUAGACAUCGUAACUCAAGAACAUGGGUUGGAGCCGAUUGAUCAAUGUUUCUCAACCAUUGCUCAACUUAAAUUAGUUAACACACAAGUCACCUAAAUAGCAUAUUUUUGGGGUCUAUCGUGGAGGCAUUUACACAUGGUGUAAAACUUCAUAAGACUUACAUUGGCUACUAAAGAACCUAAAGCACUUAUGUGCAUAUGUUAUCGAAUUGUUCUUCAAUUUUAUCAAGGACGGACUCAUGAACGCUACUCACCUCCAAUAAUUAUUGGGCUGCGAUAACACUCAUAUUAGACCUCCAAUCGAUCAACAAGACAUUUAUUUAUCCAAAGGGAAUGGAAUGCAAUAAUUGACCAAGCAAGGCAUCGAUCCGCCAUACAAUAGAAAGCAUGACGACACCGACAGAUGCUAUCAACCAAUCGUUUUAAAAUAUUAAACUUACUUCUCGCUUGCCAUUACAUCACUCCUAAAUCACACGAUCAUCAUGAGCAUCCUUCACACGAUUAUAUAAUAGCAAUUUAAGCGUCAUGUUACACCAUACAUACAUCUUUCCUCGUUGCGAGUAUAACCAUAAUGCGGCAUAUACUCGCACACCUCAACAAAUAUCUUACGCCACCACUACUUUAUCACACCACGGCACACACACACCUACGUGCACUAAUUAAAUCCUCGCAUCCCAUGUAUUUCCAAUUUACCUAUCACAUUAAACAACGCAACAUGUUUGCUUACCAAAACGUGAAGGCAACCUUGCUACGACAUAUAACCAAAACAUUUUAUACCCACACACACUCCAACACCAAUGUACACCAUAUCGAUAAAAAUAUAAUUAUACAAACUACAAAUCGCACACAUCAAACAACACAUCGCAUAAAUUCCUAUUGAAAUAUAAAAACAUUCGAGUUAUUUUCUACUUCUUUUUCUUUCGCCACAAACUUCAAUCCAUACCAAUACAAUUUUUAAACAUGCACCACCUCGACCAAAACAUAAUUAGACAACUACAAAUCGCAUACAACACAUAACCUUUUGUUCUCCAAUCGCAAACACGAUCCUACCAAUGCGCAUAACCAAAACAUUUUACACACAUCCAUUCAAAUUAAUUAAACGAGUCGAUCGAGAGCGACAUGCAUCGGCUCACCAUAAACAAACCCAAUCGGUGUUUGUAAGGACGAUGGCGAUUCCGACUUGUGCAUCGCUCCGAACAUCGACGAGCGUCGAGCGGCUUGCCUUCUUCUCCACGCAAAACACGGGAUUCCUCUCCUCCACAAAACAAAAAUAAAACAGCACACAUACACAAUUAAUCAUAUGAAGAUAACGCCGAUGCGGAAUCAAACAAGGAUUGUCGUGGUCUCGCCGGGUGAACGACGACGACGACGGGGCUGCGCAAAAACAACAAACACCUGAUGGGCAUCCUGGCGUGUUGUUCGCUGCGCAGCACAAAGCAGCGAGCCGCGCGGCGACGUCGGGGCUGCUGCACAUUUUGCCGAGCACCCAGCAAGCAUCAACGGUGCAGGCGCAGCAACACACACGCAGGAAGGAAACCGAGUCGCAAGGCAUGGAGGGAAUGCUCCAUGGCAUCUGCUGCAGCGCGCCAUGGGAGAGGGCUGCGUCUGCGAGGAGAGGCGGGGCAAGCUGCUGCUGUGUCCUGCCGUGAGGGGAAAUGGAGCUGAGCUCCCUGUUUGCUGCGCGCCGUGGACAGCAGGGGAGGAAGAAGACCCGGUUGCUGUUGCUGGGCGCCGGCCAUAGUGCUCCCUGCACGCAGGGGGAAAAAAGAAAUGGAGCAGGGAGGGCGCCAAGGCAGAGGGGAAACUGCAGGGGGUGGCGCCAUGGGGAGGAGUGGAGCUCGAGCGCCGACCAUGGAGGAGAGUAGGGCGUCGGCGUGCUCCCAGGGAACUCGGCCAUGGCUGGACUCGGCUGCCAAGGAAAAGGAGAGAGCAGGGGGCGCCAUGGGAAGCUCCAAGUAGGGGGAAGAAGGGAGAGGGGCGCCAUGGGUGGGAGCUCGGCUAGAGCAGGGGCUCGGCCAUCCUGCGUGGAGGAGGGAGGAAGUUCCCUGCGCUGGCUGCUGCUGCCGUGAGCAGCGAGGAAGAAGGCAGGGAGUAUGGCUGGUGGCGGCUAGGGAAAAAAUGGAAGGUGGGAGUGCAAAAUAGCCCAAGUGCAAGGGAAGGGCACCCCUAUUUAUAGAAGAUGGCUAGGGUUAGGGUUUCCUUAGUGGGCCAAAUGGGCUGGGUUGGGCUGGUCCAAACACGUUAUCGCUCUGCGCUAAUUUAUUUUCCGGAAUAAAAAUGCUCUCGCGAAAUUCGUCGCUACGGAAAAACAGAGCGAAAAGAGUUCGGACGAACGGAAGGUUGAGCGAUUAAUUCGGCCGAGAGUUUGACUUGAAUUCGCUCGGAAAUAAUUCCCUACGCGUGGUUCGAAAAUAAAUCGUCCCGAGAUACGACCGGCUUUCAGAUUUAUGAUUGAAAGAGAUGAAUCGCGACAUUUAAAAAUCAUCGCCGAUGUUGAUUUUUAAUUCGGGAUCGAACACAGAGGUAUGAGUCGAGUCGGAUAAGAAUUAAUUAGAGGGCGACGUACUGAGUAUCCCGUUUGAGAAAGCGGAUCCGAAUAAUUUAGUCGAACAUAGAUCAAGGUUCGAAAAAUUAGGCUCGGGCUCAGAUCAAAUAACGGUCAUCGAGAGUUUGAUUAAAUGAGCUUCAGAUGAGUUUUAUAAUUCGAGAAUGAUUUAUCGAGUUCGUAUUCGUGUCGAGAAUUAACAGUUUUAUCAGGCUCCAAAUUCGGCAUUCGUCGAGAUCGAAUAGCUCCGAACUCGGUGAAGUAUUUACGAUUAACUUGAUGAAAGAAGAUAAAUGUGAUAAGAAGAUAGAAAUUUUUACUGAGCGUCCGAGAUUAGGACAAACCUCCCGACAGAACACGAAACUGACACCUGGGGUGUCACAGCCUUCCCCCCUUAAAAAGAAUCUCAUCCCGAGAUUCGAAUGAGGAUCUUCAAGGGUGGAGAAACAUGUAACUCACAGGCUGGAGAUAGAUGCAAAUUCAUGAGAUGGGAUCUGACAAGAUACUGAAAAUAGAUUUGGGUAGAAUAUCGCGGCAUGUUGAGACAAAAUGCAGCGAUCACUCUGAGAGGAUGUUCACAAAAGAGAGCACAUCGGUGUAGUCUUAUAAUGGAUCACAACUAUUAACCCUGAUACCAGCGCGUGCCGAGCAGCUCAACCAUGUGUGCACCAUAGUAGGCUCUCGGUUUCGUCGCGGCACCAUCGGUCGUUAGUCAUAACACCAUUACCAAACGCAACCAAUAAGAAAUUCACAUAGCACAGAUAGAUGGAGCCCAUGAGAGUAUGGCUCAGAAAUUAAGGAUGUGACCGGAGUUGAAGCAGAGAUUGUUGGCAAAAGAGCAUCAGAUGAGAAUUUUUAUUUAACUCAGAGAACCAUUUUAUGAUCAACAUGGAGAUUAUCAGAUCAGAUAUUAGCACGAGAUUUGAUAUGAGGAUGAACCGACCAUGAGAUCAAAAUAGAUUGUUGAGCUUUUAGAGACAUGAGAGAACCAAGGACAACAAUGAAAUCCAUUGAACUAAAUGGAUACACAUAUUAGAGAUAAGUUGAUAAAAUGACGUCAUGAUCCUUGGAGGAAGAGCAUGAGAUCGACCAGAAUUGAGAGAUUUAGGCAAGAUCAACAUCCGAUACUUGAGAACGGGUUAUAGCGGAUAACCAGAUAACGGGGCAAAAUCAUUAAAGGAUCCAGGGAUUCGGAUGAUAAAGCCACAACAUGAUUCACAAGGAAAGAGAUCACCAGACCCAUGCGAAAGGAGAGGUAGGCAAACAGGAUCGGCUAGGAUGAUCAAUAGAAAUGUUAUGAAGUUUCGGGAUGGGAUCUAUGGAAAGAAACAUGGCCUUGAUAGGGUUUGCACAACUAGACACCAAACAACAAUUUUUUUUUGACAUAACCACGUGCACAAGGAAGUUUUAUUUUGGCUAGCGGUUAAGCUAUGGGGGUCUACAAGUUGUGCAGGUUUAACUUCAAAGGUAAAACACUCAAGGGGGCUAGAAAAUACCAACACAAGCAGGAUUUUUUUUAGAGGUUUCUCUUGCUAAACUCAAGGUUGUUUGGACGGAGGGUCUUUUCAUGAGCGAAACAAAGAACAUUUUUUUUGCAACAAGGGUUGAGCAACUAAAACAUUUCAUAGAUAGCCAGACAAGAGAAGCACAUACACAACCUAGUCAAGGCUAUCAUGACACACAUGAUAAGACAUUUUUUUCUUUGCAGUUCAUAGCAAUACAUCACAUUAUUCACAAAUUUUUUUUAGGAAUAAAGGUGAGAGAAGCAUGUUGAUGCACAAUAGACAAUUAUGAUGCAACAAUCAUGAUGCAUGCAUGCUCAUUCUAGUCGUCUUCUCAGACCUAACUAAUUUUUGGGGUGCUUCUAUAGCAUCCUUAUUAAUAGUAAUAGUAGCCUUUAUGGCCUAAAUAACUAGCCACCUAGCUACCCAUCUAUUCCUAUGGCUUCACGUCCUAAAUCUAUCCGUAUCGUCCUGACAUCUAUCCAACAUUGGUUUCUAGCAAGUUUUACUUUAUAAAAGGUUGGCAUUUAUGACUUAUUGACUUCUCUGUAAUGGUAUUCGCUCCGAUACCAGCUGUGGUGGAACCGCCCGAAUUAUUCCAGCUUAAGUGCCCAAGUCGCACCCUUAAGGGCAGCAACACACUUAAAUGGGAAUAACCCGUCAGUCCCUCGGAUCUACUCCGAUAAAGCCACUUAUCCAGGAUCGAAUACCACUAGCUCACUCGAAGGUGAGGCACAGAGAAAUAUAAUAAAACAUAAUACCACAAUUUAAUAACUCUCAUUAGUGAUUACAUUAUCGGAGUUUCAGAAAUGAUAACCAUAAAUUUUAAUGCAGCGGAAAUAACUAACGGAGAAAACCGAGUAACAUGGCGAAGCCUGGCCACGCUACUCCUUCUGGUCCUCUCCUGCGGAAGCAAUAACCCACUCGACCGUCUAUCCCGGUGGCAGGGAUGAAGGCCAAGUCACGCCAUCAACCAAUCAUCCUAAGGAGUACCUGCAAAAAUUAUGCCACAAGCAAGGCUGAGUAUACUAAUACUCAGCUAGACUUACCCGGUGUGAGGAGUCUACUCCUCUACCUCUAGACAUGCAGUUGUUUGGCAGAGGGGUUUGGUUUGCCAAAAGCACUAGCUGAGUCUAAAAUCAAGUUUUAGCUUUUCAAGUUUUAAUAUGAUCCUUUUUAAACUAGAUGAGUACCUAGCUAUUCAUACAUGGUACCAAACAUUAUAUCAAUCAACAUCUUUUUGCCAGUCACCUCAUUUUCAUUUAUUACUCAAUGCAGUACAAUGGAUCAAGCAGUCUCAUUAGCUGCGAGAAGCAGACGAUUCGAAUCUGUUACGAAAAGUAAGCAGUUGUUGACUGCUUUCUAACCAGCAUUUCUCCAAGGGACGUGCCCCUGCACGAUCCCCAUGUACGGACGUGGCUUUUGGCCACUCCUUUAGUGUCUCUUUCCUUUGUAUAAAUAUCAAAAGCAAUAAAGGAUACAGUGCCCCUUUUCAUUUCAUUCUCGCACAGUUUCUACUUUACACGUUAUCAGCACUUGCUUUACAAAAGAGAGAAAAAAAAGCCAAAACAAGAACAGCGGAGGCAAGGAGUUCUUCAUCAAAAGAAAAACAGUCGGGUACGCUAUGAUCUACAAAGAUCUUUCUGUUGCCCUCCUUCCUUCAUCCUUCGGUUUUUGAACGGUGGCCAUCGUCGCCGGCGAGGCGCUGACUUUGCCGCACGUCGUCUUCUACGUGCUGCGCAUCGACAUGGUCGCCACCAUGCCAAGAAGCGCAGCAAGAAGGACGCCCAGGCCACACUUGACCCUGAGCGCGUCCGUCGGACCGGGGGUGAUCCUGGCGCUGGUCCCAGCAACGUUGCGGCACCUGCUGCACCGCCGCAGCAACCGCCAGCGCCACGCCAAGACCGAUGGGUGCGUCCUCCAUCGCCUUCGCCGGAGCGGGUUGCAGAGCGGUUGCGUGAGUCCGAGACCCAGCAGCCGCUCCGUCCAAUGCGGUACUGCCCCCUCCAUGGAUGGGGGCCGUGUCCUGCUCGCCAACCGCGGGCUCCUCCAACGGAUGCAGACACCGCCGCCCCCGCUGUUCGAUCGAGCGGACUGCUCGUUCAAGUCACCUCUCCAGCGCGCCCUCGUGCCCGGACACGGCUGACUGCGCGGAAAUCAACCGGCCCUCGCGGUCGCCCCGUCGGCCAGAUCGCAUCCACGUCCACUGCGGCGGUUGCCGUCGACGCCACCUCUUCCUCCUCCGACGAUGAGAGGAUCGCCUUAGUCCUCGGCGACGGGGUGCAGCAGCGACUGCCUACUCCGACUCCCGACGAUGGCCCAUCCGGAACGGUCUCACCGCCGGCGCUCUUGAGCCCAAGCGGCAACAGAGUGGUCCGUCGGCUCGUGCACCACCUUUCCCCACGGCCAAGUGCUCCGGGGUCGUGGUCUGCAACCGCAAGACCGUCCGACGACGACGUCCGUGAGCGCUCGCGCUCGCCGCCUCGUCGUCUUCCAUGAGUGUGGCCUCGCUCGGCCACGGCGUGCUCGGCCCUGCGCGCGUGGACCGCCCCGGCAGCAGGCGGCGCGGCCUCGGCAGGGCCCACGGCGACUCGCCCUGGCCUGCGCGGCUCGCCCGUCCCGGCAGCAGGCGGCGCGGCCUCGGCAGGGCCCGCGACGGCUCGCCCUGGCCUGCGCGGCUCUGCCCGCCCCGGCAGCAGGCGGCGCGGCCUCGGCAGGGCCCGCGGCGGCUCGCCCUGGCCUGCGCGGCUCUGCCCGCCCCGGCAGCAGGCGGCGCGGCCUUGGCAGGGCCCGCGGCGGCUCUCCCUGACCUGCGCGGCUCGCCCGCCCCGGCAGCAGGCGGCGCGGCUGCUUGCCCGGCGCCCGGCAGCUCGCAGCCCGGCCUCGGCAGGGCCCGCGGCUGCUCGCCCGCCUCCGUCACCCGCGGCCGCGCGGAUGCCCUGCGCCCUGACCGACGCGACGGCAGCCCUGGCCUGCGAGGAUUCUCUGCGACGGACGAGGACGGCGCGGCCUCUGCCCUUGGCGGCUUGCACAGGCAGCGGCGGCUCAUGGGGCAAAACCCUAACUGCCAUCCCUUAAAGAGGCCACGCACGCCCAUAGAUGGGCCGGUUUACUUACCCAUGUCGUAGGCCCAGUUAGCCAUUUUCCUUUUUAUUUUAGCUAUUUUCAGUUUUCUAAAUCCUAGAAAAUUAGAUUGCUUUGAUUAAAGAAGUUUAUAAAUCCUUCAGUAGCAGCUUCUGUCACGAAUUUUUCCAAAGUUUUAGUACUUGGAAAUGGUGUCAAUAAAUAUUUUCUUUACAUGUGAUAUUUAUUGUCAUGUGUUCUAUUUUUUGCAUUCCUUAAAAUGCAAACUCAAAACAAAAAAAUUCAUCUCAAUUUAACCAAAAAGGUUUAAUACGAGCAGAAUUAAUUUUUUUUGAUAGAACAUAUAGAAUAAUUAAUAUUCAUCUCAAUUAAGUUAUUCAAAACUUAAUACGAGCAAGAAUAUUUAUUUAUUUAUUAAAUUCCAUACGCAAUUCUGCUACUCAUAUAUUCAUCUUAUUAAGUUACUAUAGGUACUUAAUUUCAUUUGAAUAUUUUAUUUACUACAUAAUGAAAUUUUCGAUCUCUUGCAUCGCUUUGCAAUUGAGACCUUAAAUUAUCAUUCAUUUAUGCAAUAUCGCAUUAUAUUGCAUAUUUUUCAUCUCAAUUGGAUUUUUCUCUUAAAUCCAAUACGAGCAAGAAUACAUGUAUGUUGUGUACAACACACAUAUUACAACACACCCAUGAUGAUUUCUUAACGAAAUUCUCUGGUUGCUUGUGUAGGAUCAUGGCCCGCGAGUUCGAAGAACUUGCUCUUGAUGGUCACAACUAUCCUACUUGGGCGUUGGAUAUCAAGAUCAGCUUAGCCUCAAAGAAUAUUCUGAGUGCAUUACUCCCUCCCAACGAGAGGGUUGACCCACUGCAUGAUGCUUAUAAGUACAACGCUUUGUACAUUAUAAGACAUCACCUCCAUCCUGAUCUGAAAGUAGAAUAUGUGAUGGAAGAAGAGCCAAAUGUAUUAUGGUUAUCUCUUAAAAACAGAUAUGAGCAGCAAAAGGCUGUAAUCUUACCAGAGGCGAAUCAUGAAUGGACCCAUAUUCGUCUUCAAGACUACAAGUCUAUUGGUGAUUACAACCAUGUUGUUCAUAAGAUCUGUGCUCGCUUGCGUUUCUGCGGCAAGGAACCAUCAGAUGCGGAUAAGAUUGAAAAAACACUUCAGACUAUAAUCCCAUCUGAAAGGGUCCUGCAGCAUCAGUACCGUGCUCGCAAUUAUCAGACUUACUCUGAACUCAUACAUGAUCUACUUCAGGCAGAAAAGCAUGAUGAGCUUACGAUGAAAAAUCAUAAGCAACGUCGUGUUGGAGCUGCUCCUAUGCCUGAAAUACAUCAUGCUGUGAAGAAUGAGAAGAAAGGGGAUGGCCCCAAAAGCCAUCCCAAGAAGUCUGAUAAUUCAAAGAAGCGCAAACGCAACAAGCGUCCGGAUAAGCAAAAUACAAAGGCUCCGAGGAAAGACACCCCCACUUCCAAGCAAGAGAAGUGUAAGAAGUGUGGAUGCUACAACCAUCCUACUAAGAAGUGUCGCAUUCCUCGCCAUUUAGUGGAACUGUACCAGCAAUCUCUUAAGGGCAAAAAUGCUGAAGGACAGGGAUAUGAAGCUCACUUCACUACCCCACCUAACUUGAAGGAUGGAGCUGGUUGCUCAAGCAUGGCUACAAUGGAACCAAGCACGACCAAUCCUCCGCUUCUGACCGACACCGAUCACAUGGACUUGGACAACGCCAUCAUCGAAUAUGCUUCGAGUGAUGUGUUUGGAGACCUCAACUAGGAUCCUUAUGCUCCACCAGAUAUCAUCUAUCUGUAGUCUAUGAGUGUGUGCAACAUGUGUGCUGUAAUAAGUACCUAGACAUUGGUAUUUGUGUGUAUACUCCAUACUCUACUGUAUAACUAUGUAUGUACUUAUAUGUAUAAUUAAUUGAGUUCUUGCAAUUCUUGAUUAUAUAGAUUAUGCGGAAGUCAAUCCAAUGGAGGAAGAAUUAUGCCUUGUAGACAGUGGUACCACCAACUCUAUUCUUCGGGAAACAAAAUAUUUCCAAACUCUCACAAAGAGGUCAGGAAAUAUCUUGACAAUCGCUGGGCGCGAUGCGAAAAUAGUUGGCUCUGGACGAGCGACUAUUACGCUCCCUAUGGGUACACAAGUCACUAUCGAGGAUGCUUUAUUGUAUCCCGAUUCAACUCGUACCCUUCUGAGUUUUCGAGAUAUUCGGAAAAGUGGUUUACAUAUUUCUACUCAUACAGAAAACAAUGAGGAAUUUCUCCUCAUUUCCAAACCUUCUGAAUAUGGCACUAACAUUCUGGAAAGAAUACCUUCACUUCCAUCCGGAUUGUACUACACAUACAUAAAACCAGUACCUCAUGUUACGUACAAAGUGAUUUUUCAGAAUGUAGAUUCAUUCAUGACCUGGCAUGCACGCCUUGGUCACCCUGGAAUAGGGAUGAUGCGGAAAAUCAUAGGUAAUUGCAUCGGUCAUGAUUUAAAGUCUGCCAAAUUUCCUAAACCAUCUGAUUUUAUAUGUACAUCAUGUGCAACGGGAAAGCUAAUCUUAAGACCAUCUCCUCUUAAGAUUCACGCUGAACCACUCAAGUUCCUUGAACGAAUUCAAGGUGACAUUUGUGGACCCAUACAACCAUUAUCUGGACCGUUCAGAUAUUUCAUGGUAUUAAUUGACGCAUCUACACGAUGGUCACACGUGUGCCUUCUGUCUACACGUAACCAUGCCUUUGCUAAAAUCAUGACGCAAGUCAUUCGAUUGAAAGCACAUUAUCCUGAACAUAAAAUCCAGAAAAUCCGCCUAGAUAAUGCGGCUGAAUUCUCUUCUAGAGCAUUCAAUGAUUAUUGUAUGGCCCAAGGAAUACACAUUGAACAUUCUGUGCCUUAUGUACAUACUCAAAAUGGUUUAGCUGAAUCUCUUAUUAAGAGGAUCAAACUUAUCGCAAGACCUUUACUUCAUGAAUGCAAUUUACCUACAUCCUAUUGGGGUCAUGCAGUUUUACACGCUGUUGAUCUUAUUCAACUUCGCCCAACUGCAUAUCAUACAACAUCUCCGUUGCAUCUGGUUCGAGGAAACCCUCCAAAUAUAUCCCAUCUGCGGAAAUUUGGAUGUGCGGUCUACACCCCUGUAUCACCGCCUCAACGAACAGCUAUGGGACCUCAUAGGAAAUUGGGCAUCUAUGUGGGAUAUCAAUCCCCAUCGAUCAUCAAAUACCUAGACCCCCUUACAGGGGAUUUGUACACAGCUCGUUUCGCUGAUUGCAUCUUUAACGAGGACCAUUUCCCGGCAUUAGGGGGAGAAUUCAAGUAUCCUAAUGAAUGCCAGGAAAUCAAUUGGGAUGACAAAUCCAUCCUGUCCUCAGAUCCUCGAACCCAGGAAUCUGAGCUUCAAGUUCAGAAAAUUAUAGAAUUGCAACACUUUGCUAACAAUCUGCCUGAUGCGUUUACUGACUAUAAUGGUGUCACAAAAUCCUUGAAUCCUGCUGUUAAUGCGCCCAGUCGAGUGGAGGUACCACGAAAAACCAUUCAACCAUCUUCUCAACCGAAGAGGGUGAGGGCUGCUAAGCAGGAUAAUGCUUCUACUAAGCGUCAAAGGAAAGAGAGGAACAUUCGAUCCUCCAAAUCAGUAAACAAAAGUCAACCACCAGUUGAUGGACACCAAGUGGAUACUGUACAUCCACAAACCAGCACUCAUGUGCACAAUUCAGAUGUUGCUGGUACAUCGGAACACCCCAUAUCUACUCUUCCUGUAAAUCAAGAAGACUUUCAUGGGGUACAAGAGAUUUCCAUUAAUUAUACUAGUUCUGGAGAAUUGUAUGAUCGUAAAACUACGGUCAUAAAUUCAUGUUUCUCAUCAAUCAUAGCUGGUAACCUUCUAUCUGACCCAGAUCCUAAAUCCAUGGCAGAGUGUCAACAACGCUCGGACUGGAUCAAAUGGAAGGAAGCAAUUAACUCUGAAUUAUCCUCACUAGCAAAAAGAAAGGUAUUCACCUCUGUGAUACCUACACCUCCUAGAAUCCAUCCUGUUGGAUUCAAAUGGGUUUUCACCCGGAAACGGAAUGAGAACAAUGAGGUUAUGAGAUAUAAAGCGAGAUUAGUUGCUCAAGGGUUUACCCAGAGACCAGGAAUUGAUUACAAUGAGACAUAUUCUCCUGUUAUGAAUGGAAUAACUUUCCGAUAUUUAAUUUCAUUGGCAGUACAAAAACGUCUACUUCUGCAGUUGAUGGACGUCGUGACCGCAUAUCUUUAUGGGUCACUAGAUUCGGACAUAUACAUGAAGGUUCCUGAUGGAAUACCUGUACCGAAUAAUGGCAAAAAUCGUAACAUGUUUUGUGUCAAACUCACCAAAUCUCUAUAUGGCUUAAAACAGUCAGGGAGAAUGUGGUACAACCGACUGAAGGAAUUCCUUAUGAAUAAGGGUUAUUCUAACAGUGAUGAUUGCCCAUGUGUCUUUAUAAAGAAAUCUUCUACAGGUUUCUGCAUCAUAUCAGUAUAUGUGGAUGACUUGAACAUCAUCGGCCAUAAACGUGAUAUUGAUGAGGCACGCAAUCUUUUAAAGACGGAAUUUGAGAUGAAGGAUUUGGGUAAAACCAAAUUUUGCUUGGGUUUGCAACUUGAGCACCUUCCCACGGGCAUUCUCAUUCAUCAGUCUGCUUAUGCGCAGAAAGUAUUGAGUAAAUUCAAUAUGGAUAAAGCAUAUCCGUCUAAGACUCCUAUGAUCGUCCGUACCCUAGAAAGGGAUAAGGAUCCUUUUCGACCACGAGUCGAAGGAGAAGAAAUUUUGGGUCCUGAGUACCCAUAUCUUAGUGCAAUUGGAGCACUUAUGUAUCUAGCAAACAAUACAAGGCCCGAUAUUUCCUUUGCGGUAAAUUUACUUGCUAGAUAUAGUGCAUCCCCUACCAAACGCCAUUGGACUGGAAUCAAAAAUAUUCUUCGAUACCUCCAUGGCACGGUAGAUCUCGGUCUAUUCUACGGAAGAAAUCAAGAUCCUAGCCUUGUAGGGUACACAGAUGCUGGUUAUCUUUCAGACCCCCACAAUGGAAGGUCUCAAACUGGGUUUGUAUUUCUGAAUGGUGGAAGUGCUAUUUCUUGGAAGUCAUCCAAGCAAACUCUAGUAACAACAUCCACUAAUCAUUCAGAGAUUAUUGCCUUGUAUGAAGCCUCACGUGAAUGUAUCUGGCUUCGAAGGGUGAUUAAUCACAUUCAAUCAUCAUGUGGGAUUCAUCCCAUUGAAUCACCCACCAUUAUCUAUGAAGAUAAUGCUGCUUGUGUUGCUCAGAUGCAACAAGGUUAUAUCAAGAGCAAUGUCACCAGACAUAUCUCCCCUAAGUUAUUCUACCCUCAUCAACUUCAACAGAGUGGUGAGAUUAAGGUCAUGCAAACUAAGUCUUGUGACAACCUCGCAGACUUUUUCACUAAGUCGCUACCUUAUUCCACAUUUCGGAUAUGUGUUAAGGGUAUUGGUAUGCGUCGACUUAGAGAUUUGCUUGCAUCAGGGGGAGUAUCUCUUGACUAAUCUAAUACUGACAUCACAUUGUACUCUUUUCCUAUAUGAGUUUUACUACCAUGUUUUCUCAUGUUAGGUUUUUAAUGAGGCAAUGUCAACACAAGCAUAUGUCAGUCUCUUGAUUUUUCCCAUCAGGGUUUUUCGACAGAGAUACCAAAGACAUACCAUAUACUGUUGAUUUUCUCCAAAUUUUUCCCACUGGGUUUUUCUGGAGUUUACACAGUAUAUUAUCACAAACCACCUUUUUGCUUACAGGUUUCAAGGGAGAAUAUACAUAAUGGACAACUGCUUAAGGGGGAGUGUUACGAAAAGUAAGCAGUUGUUGACUGCUUUCUAACCGGCAUUUCUCCAAGGGACGUGCCCCUGCACGAUCCCCAUGUACGGACGUGGCUUUUGGCCACUCCUUUAGUGUCUCUUUCCUUUGUAUAAAUAUCAAAAGCAAUAAAGGAUACAGUGCCCCUUUUCAUUUCAUUCUCGCACAGUUUCUACUUUACAGAAUCGAGUUUUUAUCCUUGCAAGGUAAACCUAAACACACGACAUGUAGGGGCACUCCGUCCCCACACACAUCAACCGUCCCCAUCGAUUCCCCGUCAGCAGAUCAGGGCUCACCGCCUUGGCGUACAAUGCCUCACUGACCCCGACUGCCGUCGUGCAGUGACCGCACUUGUACCCACCAUAACCGGAAUGGGAGACCACGUCUCAGGUCGCGUGAGGGGUAAAGUCCACUGCCAGGUUCAAUCAGGUACUAGGCUUACCGAUUACCAUAUUUCUCAGCAUGUGCUUAGUACGUUCAAACGCUUGACACAGGUAUCCGCACGUUAAUCCUUAUUCCAAUUUCCGUCUCGUAGACCACGCGUCCCCAUGGACCCGUGUCCACAGACCAUCAUCAUUCUGUAUCAAAGUGGAUACAACCGAUUCCUGACCUCGCGCGAGUGCUAGAAAAAUCACUCGACUUCUAUCGAGAUCCCUAAUUAGCAAAGCAGCUACUCGACCUAGCAUACUAGUAUCCAUCUCAAAAAGGAAUCCUUAGUUCAUGCAACUAGGGCUUCAACCAACUCCUACACUUAAGUGCACGGUACAAGCCUACAAACAUUAAGUGUAGUAAAAUAGCAUAUAUAAACGGUUAUGCAUAAAACCGGGGCUUGCCUUUAAUUUAACACUUAGAUAGUGUUUGCUGGGGUGGGUACUCGCUUGGCGAGCAUCCACUGGGUAAGUCCACCAUUCUUUAGGUCGUCCACCAACUGCAUCUUGUGGUUGGCACCACAUCACUGGCUCGAUCAUCGUCCCUCGGUCCUAAAUGAGAUGCAAUAUGCAUAUGUAUGAAUAUAAUGAAAUAGAACAAGAUACUUUAAGUACAUGCUAGCGAAUUAAACACUAAGUAGCGAGACAUCACAAACAACCACACCCACUAGCGUUAGCUAACUACAUAUCGUCGAGCGCACAACAUUACACCACUAAAAAGACGACAAACAUUUUGGAUAUUUACGCAACACAAUACUACAUCACAAUUAACUAGAGAAAGAAACGUAUAAAAACAUGACACAUAUGUUAUCUCAAGCUUAGCCAUGGCAAUUCUAUAUGAAUUUAGUGUUAACCAACCAUUUUUAGCCAAAAGGGUGAACUAACAAUUAAUUGAGCACAUGCAGAUUUUUAGGACAGCAGCACAGCAGUUACUAGUUUUAAUCAUAUCUCUUCAAAUAUUCAUCCAAAAAUAGCAAACUAGGAUUUUCUGGAAAGCUUAAAAAGUGAACUAUAACUUUGGUAUUUUCACCUCAACCUGAUUCAACACAUAGCAAGGUCAAAAAGUGCAAUCACAGCAGCUCUGUCCAGAUUUGGACAGAUUCAGACUUGCAACUUCAAAAAUUCACAACUAGAGAUUCAGACAUCCAAAUAAGUUGAUCCUAGACUUUCUGGAAAGGUAAUAAAAUUGUCUACAUAUCAUUUAUAAACAUCUCAAGGUGAUUCAAUAUUUAACUAAGGAUAAACAUCACUAAAAGACUUUGCUGUCCAUAACUGGACAGAUUCAGUCUUCCUAUUUGAAACAUUCAUAACUUAAGCUUCAGACCACCAAAAAUAGUGAUCCAAGACUUUUUGGAAAGCUUGGCAAAAGAACUACAUAACUUUUAUAAUCACCAAGAAGUGAUUCCAGGUUUAAUCAAAUCAAACAUUACAGUUUUCAAAAUCUGUUCAGACAGAGGACAGAACAAAACAACCAGUUUGUAAAUUUCAUAACUCUUAAACCGUCAGUCCUAUGGUUAUGAAAUUUUAACACAAACAAGAUGAGAAAAGCAUCUACAACUUUCUUAUAACGACCAUGAACAGGUUGCAACAUUAAUUUGAGCAAACAAUGCAGUUUCUGAAAUCUGUACAUAAUUCGGACAGAUUCAGUUACUGAAUUUGUGAACAGCAUAACCAACAAGUCGACUUGCAAAUUUUAUUCAAGUCAUUUAGUGCACUAAAAUUACUACAAUCAAUUAACAACACAUUCUUCACGACAAUCACUCAACAAUUUGCGUUUUAAAUUAGACAUCACAUGAGCACUACUACUUUUUAUCCGCGACCAUAAACAUACACAUUUAGACUACAAUAAGAAAAUCAUCGUGAAUACAAGUUUAACCAAGUCAUCUAAAAUUCGGCAAACUAGCGCAACAACAUAGGCCGCUAUACAUCCUACACGUCGGCUUGCCUCUUAUCAUCGCAAUCCGAGACAACACAUAUAUAACAAACACUUAACGAAAUCGACUCCUAUUUAACAUGAGUUGGCUAAUCACAGUAGAAGACCUAGCGAACCAUUUUAGACAUCGUAACUCAAGAACAUGGGUUGGAGCCGAUUGAUCAGUGUUUCUCAACCAUUGCUCAACUUGAAUUAGUUAACACACAAGUCACCUAAAUAGCAUAUUUUUGGGGUCUAUCGUGGAGGCAUUUACACAUGGUGUAAAACUUCAUAAGACUUACAUUGGCUACUAAAGAACCUAAAGCACUUAUGUGCAUAUGUUAUCGAAUUGUUCUUCAAUUUUAUCAAGGACGGACUCAUGAACGCUACUCGCCUCCAAUAAUUAUUGAGCUGCGAUAACGCUCAUAUUAGACCUCCAAUCGAUUAACAAGACAUUUAUUUAUCCAAAGGGAAUGGAAUGCAAUAAUUGACCAAGCAAGGCAUCGAUCCGCCAUACAAUAGAAAGCAUGACGACACCGACAGAUGCUAUCAACCAAUCGUUUUAAAAUAUUAAACUUACUUCUCGCUUGCCAUUACAUCACUCCUAAAUCACACGAUCAUCAUGAGCAUCCUUCACACGAUUAUAUAAUAGCAAUUUAAACGUCAUGUUACACCAUACAUACAUCUUUCCUCGUUGCGAGUAUAACCAUAAUGCGGCAUAUACUCGCACACCUCAACAAAUAUCUUACGCCACCACUACUAUAUCACACCACGGCACACACACACCUACGUGCACUAAUUAAAUCCUCGCAUCCCAUGUAUUUCCAAUUUACCUAUCACAUUAAACAACGCAACAUGUUUGCUUACCAAAACGUGAAGGCAACCUUGCUACGACAUAUAACCAAAACAUUUUAUACCCACACACACUCCAACACCAAUGUACACCAUAUCGAUAAAAAUAUAAUUAUACAAACUACAAAUCGCACACAUCAAACAACACAUCGCAUAAAUUCCUAUCGAAAUAUAAAAACAUUCGAGUUAUUUUCUACUUCUUUUUCUUUCGCCACAAACUUCAAUCCAUACCAAUACAAUUUUUAAACAUGCACCACCUCGACCAAAACAUAAUUAGACAACUGCAAAUCGCAUACAACACAUAACCUUUUGUUCUCCAAUCGCAAACACGAUCCUACCAAUGCGCAUAACCAAAACAUUUUACACACAUCCAUUCAAAUUAAUUAAACGAGUCGAUCGAGAGCGACAUGCAUCGGCUCACCAUAAACAAACUCAAUCGGUGUUUGUAAGGACGAUGGCGAUUCCGACUCGUGCAUCGCUCCGAACAUCGACGAGCGUCGAGCGGCUUGCCUUCUUCUCCAUGCAAAACACGGGAUUCCUCUCCUCCACAAAACAAAAAUAAAACAGCACACAUACACAAUUAAUGAUAUGAAGAUAACGCCGAUGCGGAAUCAAACAAGGAUUGUCGUGGUCUCACCGGGUGAACGACGACGACGACGGGGCUGCGCAAAAACAGCAAACACCUGAUGGGCAUCCCGGCGUGUUGUUCGCUGCGCAACACAAAGCAGCGAGCCGCGCGGCGACAUCGGGGCUGCUGCACAUUUUGCCGAGCACCCAGCAAGCAUCAACGGCGCAGGCGCAGCAACACACACGCAGGAAGGAAACCGAGUCGCAAGGUAUGGAGGGAAUGCUCCACGGCAUCUACUGCAGCGCGCCAUGGGAGAGGGCUGCGUCUGCGAGGAGAGGCGGGGCGAGCUGCUGCUGUGUCCUGCCGUGAGGGGAGAUGGAGCUGAGCUCCCUGUUUGCUGCGCGCCGUGGACAGCAGGGGAGGAAGAAGACCCAGUUGCUGUUGCUGGGCGCCGGCCAUAGUGCUCCCUGCACGCAGGGGGAAAAAAGAAAUAGAGCAGGGAGGGCGCCGAGGCAGAGGGGAAACUGCAGGGGGUGGCGCCAUGGGGAGGAGUGGAGCUCGAGCGCCGGCCAUGGAGGAGAGUAGGGCGUCGGCGUGCUCCCAGGGAGCUCAGCCAUGGACUCGGCUGCCAAGGAAAAGGAGAGAGCAGGGGGCGCCAUGGGAAGCUCCAAGUAGGGGGAAGAAGGGAGAGGGGCGCCAUGGGUGGGAGCUCCGCUAGAGCAGGGGCUCGGCCAUCCUGCGUGGAGGAGGGAGGAAGUUCCCUGCGCUGGCUGCUGCUGCCGUGAGCAGCGAGGAAGAAGGCAGGGAGUAUGGCUGGUGGCGGCUAGGGAAAAAAUGGAGGGUGGGAGUGCAAAAUAGCCCAAGUGCAAGGGAAGGGCACCCCUAUUUAUAGAAGAUGGCUAGGGUUAGGGUUUCCUUAGUGGGCCAAAUGGGCUGGGUUGGGCUGGCCCAAACACGUUAUCGGGCUGCGCUAAUUUAUUUUCCGGAAUAAAAAUGCUCUCGCGGAAUUCGUCGCUACAGAAAAACAGAGCGAAAAGAGUUCGGACGAACGGAAGGUUGAGCGAUUAAUUCGGACGAGAGUUUGACUUGAAUUCGCUCGGAAAUAAUUCCCUACGCGUGGUUCGAAAAUAAAUCGUCCCGAGAUACGACCGGCUUUCAGAUUUAUGAUUGAAAGAGAUGAAUCGCGACAUUUAAAAAUCAUCGCCGAGGUUGAUUUUUAAUUCGGGAUCGAACACAGAGGUAUGAGUCGAGUCGGAUAAGAAUUAAUUAGAGGGCGACGUACUGAGUAUCCCGUUUGAGAAAGCGGAUCCGAAUAAUUUAGUCGAACAUAGAUCAAGGUUCGAAAAAUUAGACUCGGGCUCAGAUCAAAUAACAGUCGUCGAGAGUUUGAUUAAAUGAGCUUCAGAUGAGAUUUAUAAUUCGAGAAUGAUUUAUCGAGUUCGUAUUCGUGUCGAGAAUUAACAGUUUUAACAGGCUCCAAAUUCGGCAUUCGUCGAGAUCGAAUAGCUCCGAACUCGGUGAAGUAUUUACGAUUAACUUGAUGAAAGAAGAUAAAUGUGAUAAGAAGAUAGAAAUUUUUACUGAGCGUCCGAGAUUAGGACAAACCUCCCGACAGAACACAAAACUGACACCUGGGGUGUCACAAAACCCCUCCCCUAGCUGGGCUGAAUCCAGCCCAUGCCGCGGCCGCUCCCCCCCCCUUGCGCCCGUGACUCCCUCCCCUCGGCCCAUUUCCGGUCUGCUCCCGCGCGCGCGCCAGCCCGCCCUGCGCUCUCUCUCUCUCUCUCUCUCUCGAUGACGAACCGAUCCCACCCGCCAGCCGCCCUCUCUCUCCCACGCUCACUCCCACUGGCAGACCGGCCCCAGCUGUCAGCCACUUCGUCGUCCUUCUUCCUCCUCCCCGCGUAUGACCCAUCACGGUCACCUCCGGCCAUCACCUCCGUCCCCUCCUUCGUCUUCUCGCCGCACAGGGAAGUUGGGCACCGCCCCGUCCUCGCCGCAGCGGCUGCGUCCUUGCACGGCACCGCCACCGUGCGGUCUCGUCAUCGCCGCUGUGUGGCAUUAACUCCGGUACGGUGCGCCUCACCGGCACCGCGGAGCUCCGCCGCUCCCCUUCCCUCGGGCGCCUAUAAAAGGGCCGCCCCGAGCUCCUCCUUCCCCGCACCGGCCUCAGCCACCCCUCUCCUCCCUCGUCCGAGCUCAAUUCGUGGAAGAGCCGCCGCCGCCGUCUUCUCCCUCUCCGGUGAGCCUUCCCCUCUCUUCCCCCUCCCCUCUGGAUUGCGUAGCAAGGAAUUAGCUAGGCCUAUCAGCUUCGCCACACCGCCGUGAGUCUGGAACGCCACUCCCCUACCCCAAUCCCCGCCCGGAGCUCACCGGCGGCGACUCCCGCCGCAAAGCUCCUCCACCUCCCCGCGGACAGCCCCAUCCCGGCCCCCUCUAGCCAAAUUGAGCCCACCUCUAGGUUCGCCAGCCCCUCCCCGUGCUAAGGCACCUGCACAUUGUCCAAGAACCGGGCCACCGGCGGCGAAUCGCCGCCGAGCCCACCGGCGGCCGGGUCCUCCCCCGCGGACGGCCGGUUCGUCCCGCCGUCAACCGCUGACGCCGUUCUCUCCCCCUUCCGCUCUCUCUGGCGUGUGGGCCCCGCGGCGACGCUGUCGCUCUCGCGCGCCCGCGCCGUCUCCUGCCUUGGGCCGCAACUGGGCCGGCGCACUCGCGCCCGCGCGCGCUCUGCGCUCGGCUGGGCCAGUUCCCCCCCCACGGCCCACCAAAGGCUUAAUUCCUUUUUCUUUUCUUUCUUCAGCCUUUUUCCCUUUAAUUAGUACUUCUUAAUAUUUUGUGCACAAAAAAUUAUCAAAAAUGAUUUCUAAGGUCACAUGCAAUAAUGAUGUUAGAAAAUGACACACUAUAAUUUGUAAACCACUGUUGAUGUAUUGUUUUAUUGCCUGUUUUCCUAGAAGAAGCGGGGACCGAGGGCCCGGAACCCAUAGCCCCGGAAGAAGGGCCGGAGCUCGAUCACCCGGAGGUAGAUCUUUUGUGCCAGGAAAGCUUCGACGAAGGCAAGUCCAUCCUUCCCUUGAUGCAUAAAUUUCCUAUUCUCUCUACCACUGCCUAGGCCGGGAAUUCAGGGGGAAUAUUGCAUUGUGAGUGAGAGAUGGCCCGCAUUAACAUAUACAUUCUGGACACGAAAUAUGAAUUGGGAAGAAGGGCAAUGUGUUUCUUCAAAAAAAAUCUCUUUUUGAAAAGUUAUGCAAUGAAGGGUACUCACCCUCAUCACCUUGGGAGUGGGAUGAUCAGGGACUCCCUGGUUUAGGGGAGGGCCUAAGGUGUUGGCUCAGCAUGUUUAGGCGUGAGCAGAAGGAUUUUCCCCUCAUAUAAGGAUCGGCUUGUCAUUUUCACUACCUGUACUCCUUUGUCGUACAACCACUUGAGACUGUGUGGGCAGUCACUCAAUCCGAACUCGUGCGGUCCAACCCCAGGGUUAAGAAGGCUGGGGAGCACCGGGAGGAUAAGGAGGGGGAAAGUUUUGUCCGGUUUGGACAUGGUGGUGGCCUGACUCCUUCUGGAUAACCGUUAAGGUUAGGACGUACGAGGAAGGAAAGAGAUCCGGCAUUCGGGUCUCACGACGGUGAGAUCGCAGAAACCGGGCUAGUGGGUAAAGUGUACCCCUCUGCGCAGAGUCGAAAACCUAUUCGAAUAGUCCGUGUCCACUGGUAUGGACGGGUCUGGUAUGGCAUGACAAUUAGAGAUUUCGUUUCUAUAAGUUUCAUGAAAAGGGAAAUGUGUGAUUAAAUGGGUGUUGAGAAAGAAACUAAGGCCACGGGAGCGGGAAGCUCAGUGGUGGUUGAGUUUUGGUUACUUUUAAGACUAUGGGAAAAACCUUUCAGCACUUGCCUUUCUCUAAGAAAAUGAUGAGUGACUUCAGCUCCACCAAAUAAAGCAUGUAUAUUAUAGGUCUCUUUCUCUCUACGGGAGCGGGGUGGGCUUGCGGAAUACCUAGUGUAUUCACCCAGAUUUAUUUAUGUUUUUCAGCAUCCGAAGACUUCUUUUCUGCUAUGCUUGAUUGAGAGGGCUGUGUCUGCACCCAGUUCUGCCUGUGGCUUGGGCUAGUAUAUUUUUCCUACUGCGCUUCCUAUUUUGGCUCUCUAGAGCUUGUACCCCGGUAUUGUAAUAAUUUUUAUCGAAACUCUGUACUAUUUGAAGUAAGGAAUGUGUUUACUAGCCUCCUGGGACUAGUAAUUGUAUCACAUUUGAGUCCCAAAGGAUCGGGACGCUUCAGGUGGUAUCGGAGCCCAUAGGACUGGUCAUAGGUCGCAGCCCUGACCCUAAAACUUGCCCAAAAAAAUACCUCUUUCCCCAAGAAAAGUCUUCUCUCCUCCUCCCCGAUUUUAACAGACCCUUCUUUUCCUAUUCCAGAUGGGAAGACUCUCUGGCCAUUAGGACAUCCUACUGCUCAGAGGUGGAAGGGUUCCCACAUCUGUUGUGAAGCUGUGCGCUUCGCAUGGGAAUCCGCAAGAAGCCGAAAUACGUCUGGACGGAGUAUAUCGAGGGCGGAAUGGAGAAAUGCUCUAUGGCAGUCUACCUGGGAGAAAGCCGAAACUAUCCAAACCAUCCUUCCUUCCAAGUCACUUUUACCGGAUACCGCUUUCCAGAUACUUGCCAGAAUGUUGCCCGAACAGCCCUCCGACAACUAUGCCAGAAUUACAAUAAAGUGAUCUUCGAAACCCCCCUUCGCUACUUUCCACCCAGCAACAAGAAUACCCCCACCUGAAGGAAAAGACUUUAGGCCCUGUCAGGAGGAGAUCCUAUUGAGGAUGAUCCCACCAUCGUCUACAUGGCUGGAUACCUUCACACCCUUGAUAACCAAUAUGAUGACCUCACCCUCCACUGCACCUCCCUAACCUCCCGGGUGGAAAGCCUGGAGCAAAAAGUCAGGGAACUUUCAGGGGAAAAGGCAUCCCUUCAAGAGAGCCUCUCAAUAGCUGAAGGCGAGGAGACCAAUACCCAUGAGGCGUACCGCACCCUAAAGAUGGACUAUGACAAGAAACUGAAGAAGCUCGCCCCCGCAAGAAAAAUCUGCAAGAAGACCAAAAGCCAAGGAUGUCAGACUGAGCAGAAGGAAGAAAACCCUCCAACCCUACCCCCUGCCGGGUUAGGGAACUCGUCCGACACCGAGGAGAUGUCCCUGGCCAGCCUUGAUGACCUUCUCAAGGAAUUUGGGGACACUUUAGAGAAGGAGUUCGGGAGUACCCUAGAUAGCACUCGUGUGUGAUGAACUUAUGGUAGCAGUGUGCUGUAUUGUAAUGGCUUGAUGUAAUGAAUAAAAUAACUAGUUAAAAAAUGGCUUGUGCAUGAUAGUGACUCUCUUCCCAUGGCAGAUGGCUUCGGAUAAAACCACGCCUACCGCCUCCGGGGUUGGAGCAGGAUUUCCUCUAAGAGCUGAAGGAGAGGCUGGCGGAGAAGGGGGUGAGACCCACCUCCCCGCACCUCCGGAACUACCACUAGACCUAGCCCAAGUUCUAGCCAAUCAAACCCGACUCAUUGAAGUCCUCACUAGAAGUCUGGAAAACCAGCGCCCAGGUGGUGGAAGGCCACAGGACAGGAUGGGAGAAUUUUUGAGACUCAAGCCUCCCACGUUCGCGGGGUCUAGCAAUCCCCUCGAUGUAGAUGACUGGUUUCGCACGAUCAAGAGGAAGCUGGAAGCCAUCGGAUGCCCCGAAAAUCAGCGUGUCCAACUGGCAGCUCAUCAGCUUUCAGGAAUGGCUUUAGCAUGGUGGGACACUUUCAGUGAGGCCGUCAGAGAUGCUACCUGGGCAGAAUUCGAAACAGCCUUCCGUGAGCACCAUGUACCCCAGGGGAUAGUUCAACUCAAGGAGGAUGAAUUCCGGGAGUUAACUCGGGGCGGGAGAACAGUCAGUGAGUAUGUGCACAAGUUCACAGAGUUGGCCCGUUACGCGCCUGAGGAUGUCAGCACCGAGUCCAGAAAGAUGGCCCGUUUUCUGAAAGGACUAAGACCCGAGCUUAAGACCAUCCUCGCCAGCCAAGACUUCCUCAGCUUCUCUCACCUCUCCAACAAGGCUAUCCAAGUGGAAAGGGCAAAAGAGGAAGAAAAAGGGCACCUCAAGAGGAAAUUCCAAGUCCUCUGAGAUCAACAGCAAGAACGUCACCAGAGAGCUCGACCCUUUGGACUUCCACCCAGGGGUCCAAGCUUCAAUAAACCAUCUGGACCCACUCCGUCGCGCUACAGUCAGCAGAGUUAGAGCUCCCUUCAGGCACCCUCCGUUGCAAGCAACCAACCGCCAGCAAAUGCCUGUUGGCACUGCGGGGACCCCAGUCACUUUAAGAAUAACUGCCCUCAGUUAAAGGCACCCGGACCGACUUACUCCAACUCGGUGAAUGGCCCCAAGAUUCCCUCGGCACCUACCUCCAAAGCACCUCCUUCCAACAGCCAGCAGAGCAGGACUCAGUACCAGGGCAGAGCCCGAGUCAACCACGUCGACGCUCAAGAAGCCCAGCAAGCCCCGGGGGUAGUGCUCGGUGAGUUCCUUGUUGAAUUUACUCCAGCUACUAUGUUUUUUGAUUCGGGAGCAUCCCAUUCUUUUAUAGCCGCUAAGUUUGUGGAAAAACAUGGCAUCCCCUCUACACCCCUAGCUGUCCCUUUGGUCACCCGAACCCCGGGAUCAGACCUCCUAUGCAAACUCAGGUGCUCCCAAGUCAGAAUUCUUUUAAGUGGGGUAGUGUUUCUGGCAGACUUAACCAUCUUUCCAUCCCAAGGGAUUGAUGUGAUCCUAGGAAUGGAUUGGCUAGCUAAGCACAAAGGUAUCAUCAGCUGCGCAAGCAAGACUAUUCUUCUCACAGAUCACCAAGGAAAGGCAGUUUCCUAUCAAGCCCAGCCGCCCGCAAACGAUCCUAUGAUGUUUAAUCUGGCAGCAGAAAACAUGUCUGUAAUUGAAGAGUUUGAAGAUGUAUUUCCAGAAGAGUUGCCCGGGAUGCCACCAGAAAGAGGAGUGGAGUUCUAUAUAGAUCUCAUUCCUGGCACUGCGCCCAUCACAAAGAGACCAUACCGCAUGGCUCCCACAGAGUUGGCAGAAUUGAAACUUCAGAUUUCAGAAGUGCAGCAAAAAGGGUACAUCCGUCCUAGUUCGUCCCCCUGGGGAGCACCCAUCCUCUUUGUUACUAAAAAGGAUGGGAGUAUGAGAAUGUGUAUUGAUUAUCGGUCCUUGAAUGAAGUUACAAUCAAGAAUAAGUACCCACUCCCUCGGAUCGACGACCUCUUCGACCAGCUGCAAGGAGCCAAAUACUUCUCCAAGAUAGACCUCAGGUCAGGGUAUCACCAACUGAGGAUCAAGGAAGCAGACAUUUAGAAGACUGCAUUCGUCACCAGAUACGGGCAAUAUGAAUUCACAGUGAUGCCAUUUGGGCUAACAAACGCACCCGCCUUUUUCAUGAACCUCAUGAAUAAGGUAUUUAUGGAAGAAUUGGAUAAGUUUGUCGUGGUCUUUAUCGACGACAUCCUCAUCUAUUCCAAGAGUCGCAAGGACCACGAGCGUCACCUCUGAAUCGUUCUCGGAAGACUCAGGGCACAUCAACUUUAUGCUAAACUCAGCAAGUGUGAAUUUUGGUUAGAAAAGAUAGCCUUUCUCGGGCAUAUCUUGACUGCAGAAGGAAUAGAAGUGGACCCAUCCAAGGUAGAAGCCGUUUCAAAAUGGAAACAGCCCUCCAACGUCAGUGAAGUACGAAGCUUUUUGGGAAUGGCAGGGUAUUACCGCCGCUUUAUCAAGGGGUUCUCCAGCAUAGCAAAACCUAUGACCGAACUUCUCAAAAAGGACAAUAAGUUUGUGUGGACUCCCAAAUGUGAGGAAAGUUUCCAGAUCAUCAAGGAAAAGCUUACAACUGCGCUAGUGUUGACACUGCCAGAUAUACACCAGGAUUUCGUCAUCUUCUGUGAUGCUUCAAGGCAAGGCUUAUGGUGUGUCUUGAUGCAAAAUGAGAAAGUUAUUGCCUAUGCAUCCUGCCUACUCAAGCCACACGAGCAGAACUACCCUACCCACGACUUGGAAUUGGCAGCCAUCGUGCACGCCCUAAAGAUAUGGAGGCAUUAUCUGAUCGGGAACAAAUGCCACAUCUUCACUGAUCACAAGAGUCUGAAGUACAUCUUCACGCAACCGGACCUCAACCUCCGUCAAAUAAGAUGGCUUGAAUUGAUCAAGGAUUAUGACCUCGAAAUCCACUACCACCCCGGGAAGGCCAACGUGGUAGCAGACGCCCUCAGCCGAAAACCUUUCGGGAUUAAAGGAACCAACUUUCUGGAAGAUCGGAAGAAAGAAUCAGCUCAGCUAAAUGCAUUUCUGGGAGACAACGGUAGCCUGGAAGUCAAGCCAAAUCUAGAAGAUCUCAUAUGCAAGGCUCAAUGCCUGGACGUAGAGACAGCCAGACUUAUAGAAAGAGCUCGCAAGGAGCAACUUCCGGACCUUAGGACAUAUGAGCAAGGAGUCCUCUGGUUCAAGAACCGCCUGUGUGUACCAGUGGGAGAGGCACGGGAAGUCCUGCUCAAUGAAGCCCACAACUCAGCUUACUCCAUCCACCCAGGAACCACCAAGAUGUACCUGGACCUCAAAGCCAGAUACUGGUGGAAAGGGAUGAAGAAGGAAAUAGCACAGUAUGUGGCCCGGUGUGACACCUGUCAGCGAACAAAGGCCGAGCAUCAGAAGCCUGCGGGCCUACUUCAACCCCUCCCAGUACCCGAAUGGAAGUGGGAAGAAAUAGGCAUGGAUUUCGUGACCGGACUGCCCCGAACACAGAAAGGAAAUGAUUCCAUAUGGGUAAUAAUCGAUCGUCUCACCAAGGUGGCCCACUUCGUUCCAGUAAAGACCACUUUUGGAGGGGUCGCCCUUGCCCGAAUAUACCUUAAAGAGAUAGUCAGGCUCCAUGGCAUUCCGCAGAAGAUAGUAUCAGAUAGAGGAACGCAGUUCACUUCAAAAUUUUGGAAGGGCCUCCAGCAAGCAAUGGGCACCAAGCUAGAUUUCAGCACCGCUUACCACCCCCAGUCGGAUGGUCAAACGGAAAGAGUCAACAAGGUCAUCUAAGAUUUGCUAAGAGCCUGUGUGCUAACAUUCGGCAGGGAUUGGGAGUCCAGUUUACCGUACGCAGAAUUCUCGUACAACAACUGCCAUCAGGCCAGCAUCAAAAUGUCACCAUUCGAAGCACUGUACGGAUGAAAAUGCCAAACUCCCCUAAUGUGGUCCAAUGUAGGGGAAAGGACACUGGAAGGACCCGACUUUGUUAAAGAAGCCGAAGAGAAAGUCACUUUGAUCCGCAGGAGGUUACUUGAAGCUCAGAGUCGACAGAAGAGCUACGCAGACAAUAGACGAAGGGAACUCAGAUUUGAGGAAGGAGAUUUCGUUUAUCUCAAGGUCUCCCCGAUGCGUGGUGUCAAAAGGUUCCAAAUGAAAGGAAAGCUAGCACCACGUUUUGUCGGUCCCUACCCCGUCAUUGCCCGAAUAGGACCCGCAACAUACCGUCUUGAGCUACCAGAAUCCAUGUCAGAUAUUCACAAUGUGUCCCAUGUGUCUCAACUCCGCAAAUGCCUAAAGGUACCAGAAAACCACAUCGAGGCAGAUGCAAUUCAGAUUCAAAAGGAUCUCCAGUACCGGGAAAAGCCAGUGAAGAUUCUCGACUCAGCAGUCAGAAGGACCCGCAACUCAGAAGUGAAACUCUGUAAGGUUCAGUGGAGCAGAGAUGGAGAAGAGGAAGCCACCUGGGAAAGUGAGGACUCUCUAAGGAAGGAAUACCCUUACCUUUUCCCGAGCCCCGUCUGAAUCUCGAGGGCGAGAUUCCUUUAAGUGGGGUAGGUUUGUAACAUCCCAAAAUCCUAACCUAGGUUUGAAACCCUAAACUACCCCUCUCCCCUUUUCAUCCUCUAAUUCCAAGAACUCCCUUAGAUUUUCUUUCAUCAUAUGCAUACACUUUGUUUGAUCACAAGCACCUCACUUAGAUUUUAUUUUUCAGCACCUAAGAUUAUCUAUUAAAAUUUAUUGUUCAAAAGAAAAAGAUAUAAAAAUGGAUAAAGAAAUUAGAAAAUAAAAAGAAAAAGAGAAAACCCCUCCCCUAGCUGGGCUGAAUCCAGCCCAUGCCGCGGCCGCUUCCCCCAACCCCCUCGCGCCCGCGACUCCCUCCCCUCGGCCCAUUUCCGGCCUGCUCCCGCGCGCGCGCCAGCCCGCCCUGCGCUCUCUCUCUCUCGCUGACGAACCGACCCCACCCGCCAGCCGCCCUCUCUCUCGCACGCUCACUCCCACUGGCAGACCGGCCCCAGCUAUCAGCCACUUCGUCGUCCUUCUUCCUCCUCCCCGCGUACGGCCCAUCACGGUCACCUCCGGCCAUCACCUCCGUCCCCUCCUCCGUCUUCUCGCCGCACAGGGAAGUUGGGCACCGCCCCGUUCUCGCCGCAGCGGCCGCGUCCUUGCACGGCACAGCCACCGUGCAGUCUCGUCAUCGCCGCUGUGCGGCAUUAACUCCGGUACGGUGCGCCUCACCGACACCGCGGAGCUCCGCCGCUCCCCUUCCCUCGGGCACCUAUAAAAGGGCCGCCCUGAGCUCCUCCUUCCCUGCACCGGCCUCAGCCACCCCUCUCCUCCCUCGUCCGAGCUCAAUUUGUGGAAGAGCCGCCGCCGCCGUCUUCUCCCUCUCCGGUGAGCCUUCCCCUCUCUUCCCCCUCCCCCUCUGGAUUGCGUAGCAAGGAAUUAGCUAGGCCUAUCAGCUUCGCCACACCGCCGUGAGUUUGGAACGCCACUCCCCUACCCCAAUCCCCGCCCGGAGCUCACCGGCGGCGACUCCCGCCGCAAAGCUCCUCCACCUCCCCGCGGACAGUCCCCUCCCGGCCCCCUCUAGCCAAAUUGAGCCCACCUCUAGGUUCGCCAGCCCCUCCCCGUGCUAAGGCACCUGCACAUUGUCCAAGAACCGGGCCACCGGCGGCGAAUCGCCGCCGAGCCCACCGGCGGCCGGGUCCUCCGCCGCGGACGGCCGGUUCGUCCCGCCGUCAACCGCUGAUGCCGUUCUCUCCCCCUUCCGCUCUCUCUGGCGUGUGGGCCCCGCGGCGACGCCGUCUCCCUCGCGCGCCCGCGCCGUCUCCUGCCUUGGGCCGCAACUGGGCCGGCGCACUCGCGCCCGCGCGCGCUCUGCGCUCGGCUGGGCUAGUCCCCCCCCCACGACCCACCAAAGGCUUAAUUCCUUUUUAUUUUCUUUCUUCAGCCUUUUUCCCUUUAAUUAGUACUUCUCAAUAUUUUGUGCACCAAAAAUUAUCAAAAAUGAUUUCUAAGGUCACAUGCAAUAAUGAUGUUAGAAAAUGACACACUAUAAUUUGUAAACCACUGUUGAUGUAUUGUUUUAUUGCCUGUUUUCCUAGAAGAAGCGGGGACCGAGGGCCCGAAACCCAUAGCCCCGAAAGAAGGGCAGGAGCUCGAUCACCCGGAGGUAGAUCUUUUGUGCCAGGAAAGCUUCGACGAAGGCAAGUCCAUCCUUCCCUUGAUGCAUAAAUUUCCUAUUCUCUCUACCACUGCCUAGGCCGGGAAUUCAGGGGGAAUAUUGCAUUGUGAGUGAGAGAUGGCCCGCAUUAACAUAUACAUUCUGGACACGAAAUAUGGAUUGGGAAGAAGGGCAAUGUGUUUCUUCAAAAAAAUCUCUUUUUGAAAAGUUAUGCGAUGAAGGGUACUCACCCUCAUCACCUUGGGAGUGGGAUGAUCAGGGACUCCCUGGUUUAGGGGAGGGCCUAAGGUGUUGGCUCAGCUGGUUUAGGCGUGAGCAGAAGGAUUUUCCCCUCAUAUAAGGACCGGCUUGUCAUUUUCACUACCUGUACUCCUUUGGCGUACAACCACUUGAGACUGUGUGGGCAGUCACUCAAUCCGAACUCGUGCGGUCCAACCCUAGGGUUAAGAAGGCUGGGGAGCACCGGGAGGAUAAGGAGGGGGAAAGUUUUGUCCGGUUUGGACAUAGUGGUGGCCUGACUCCUUCCGGAUAAUUGUUAAUGUUAGGACGUACGAGGAAGGAAAGAGAUCCGGCAUUCGGGUCUCGCGACGGUGAGAUCGCAGAAACCGGGCUAGUGGGUAAAGUGUACCCCUCUGCGCAGAGUCAAAAACCUAUUCGAAUAGUCUGUGUCCACUGGUAUGGACGGGUCUGGUAUGGCAUGACAAUUAGAGAUUUCGUUUCUUUGAGUUUCAUGAAAAGGGAAAUGUGUGAUUAAAUGGGUGUUGUGAAAGAAACUAAGGCCACAGGAGCGGGAAGCUCAGUGGUGGUUGAGUUUUGGUUACUUUUAAGACUAUGGGAAAAACCUUUCAGCACUUGCCUUUCUCUAAGAAAAUGAUGAGUGACUUCAGCUCCACCAAAUAAAGCAUGUAUAUUAUAGGUCUCUUUCUCUCUACGGGAGCGGGGUGGGCUUGCGGAAUACCUAGUGUAUUCACCCAGAUUUAUUUAUGUUUUUCAGCAGCCGAAGACUUCUUUUCUGCUAUGCUUGAUUGAGAGGGCUGUGUCUGCACCCAGUUCUGCCUGUGGCUUGGGCUAGUAUAUUUUUCCUACUGCGCUUCCUAUUUUGGCUCUCUAGAGCUUGUACCCCGGUAUUGUAAUAAUUUUUAUCGAAACUCUUUACUAUUUGAAGUAAGGAAUGUGUUUACUAGCCUCCUGGGACUAGUAAUUGUAUCACAUUUGAGUCCCAAAGGAUCGGAACGCUUCAUUAGGCUCCGAGCAACCCUAAUUUGUUGGGCCUCGGCCAACCCCACCUGGGCUGGGUGUAUCAUCUGGUAUUAGAGCUAGGGCCCAUUUUAAGAAGGUGGGAAUGAUGAGGAC